rnacentral:lncRNA from 1 species
CUGACCUAACAAUGACUUCACAGUUCAGCUAACAAGCAAGCUAACCAAAGAUAUAACCUUUCGCUACACACUCAAUGGAAUCCGCUGUAACAUUUUAAUUUUAAUAGUUGAUCAUCAUUUUAGGGAAAGGAAACACAUGUCAUAUUCUGCAAUGAUGUGCAAUUAUCUUUUUUAAAAUAUUAUUUUGUGCUUUUAAUCAUAAUUCAUUAUAAGAUCAUGAAUUUCUUUAAGAUGUGGCUCUUUUUGUGUUUAAAAUCAGCAUUAUUUUGUUUUUAAUUAUCAAUUUUGUUUAGAUGUUGCACUUUUUGUGGCAAGGUUUUUGUUUUAAUCAUAUGUCAAUUUUUUAUCUUUUCAUUUGUUUGGUUUUACACAAUUACUAGGUUAUGAUUAUUUGUUGAUUUUUUGUUAUUAAAUCAUUAUUAAAUCAUUAUUUAUAUAUUUUAUCAUUUGAGCAAAUAUGAAAUCCUCAUUACAACUUUGUUUUCUUUGUGAAGUAAAAAAAACAGCAAAGUGAAAUUUGUGUCUUAAAACUAUUUGUAUGUUUCAAUGUAUACAGCCUGUGUCUGCUUUUGAAGUAAAUAAAAAUGAUUUUGUGUAAAGUUUCUAUUACACAUGAUACACACGUUUCUUUCUAUUUUGUUCUAAAUGCUUACAAAAAAAUGAGUACUAAUCUCUUUUAAGGAAAAGGGGUUUAUAUAAAAAGACUUAUAACAAGGACGUAUUUGAAUAAAGAAUUAUUUUGAAUUCUGAAUUUAUGAUAAGAAAUAUAUUAUGAAAACUAACCCAACGUUGGGGGUUAACCAUGUGUGCAUAGCAUAAGGGAAGUAUUAAGUAAUUUCACUGAUAUUUCAGUAAAAACUUACUAACCCUCCUUAAUAAGGUUAGUUUUCAUCAUACAUUUUUUAUCAAUAUUUUAAAAUUAAAAAUUAUUCCCUAUCUAAAUAAUUCCUUGAUUUAUGAUGAUUUGGAAGUAUAUAAGGCGAAACAAUAUGGGUGCGGUAAUGGUUGUAUAAAAAAGGGGGAAAAGUAGCCAGGACGAUUUUUUUUAUUAACUUGUCUUACUUAUAUAACCUUUAGUAUAUGGGGAGACCUGGAAUUUUGUCAAGAUUUACCACCAAAAGUGCAAAAAAGACCUUAAGGAAAACAAAAAAGACAAGGAAGGGACACCCUCAUCAAGAAAAGAUAUGUCAAUUGAAGUUAAGUAUUUAUAACUUCAUGUUAUACACACAAUAGAUAUAGUACAAUAAAAGGAACAAUAAGCAACUCAAUUCAUAAAGAAAACUUGGCAAAUUGAACUGGCAAUUUCUAUAAUGAAUUUUAUUAUGUAAUGGGACCAAACACUAAAUCAAUAGUAUUCAUAUAUGCGACUAUGGAUGAGCUAUGUCUUCUGUCUAAUUACAUUACAGGCCAUUUUUCUCUAUUCCUUAUUUUUGUCCAUUUUUUUCUAUUCUGUAAACCCAAUUCAGAACCUGCAUUGGCAGAUCCAGGGGAGGG